rnacentral:rRNA from 1 species
GAUGAACGCUGGCGGCGUGCCUAAUACAUGCAAGUCGAGCGGACGGACCAGAAGUUUGCCUCCCGGAUGAUAGCGGCGGACGGGAGUGUAACACGUGGAAAACCCACCUAUAAGACGGGGAUGACUUCGAGACACCGGAGAUUAUACCGUACAAUAUUUUGAAGCGCAUGGUUCAACAGGGAAAGACGGUGUUGCUGUCUCAUAUAGAGGGAUCCGAGCUGCAUUAGCUAGUUGGUAAGGUAACGGCUUACCAAGGCAACGAGGCGUGGCCGACGUGAGAGGCUGGUCGGCCACACUGGAGCUGGGACACCGUCCCGGCUCCUACGGGAGGCCGCAGUCGGCAAUCUGCCGCAAUGGUCGAAAGCCUUGCGGAGCAGCGCCGCGUGUGUGAUGGCGGUCCUCGGAUCGUAACACUCUCUUACUAGUGGAAAACCUCUGUGUGCGUAACUGUGCCCAUCUUGACGGUACCUGCUCAGAAAGCCCCGGCUAACUACGUG